rnacentral:rRNA from 1 species
GAUGAACGCUGGCGGCGUGCCUAACACAUGCAAGUCGAGCGAAGCGCUUAAAUUAGAUUUCUUCGGAAUGACGAUUUUUGUGACUGAGCGGCGGACGGGUGAGUAACGUGUGGGUAACCUGCCUCAUACAGGGGGAUAACAGUUAGAAAUGACUGCUAAUACCGCAUAAGACCCCAGCUUCGCAUGAAGCGGUGGUAAAAACUCCGGUGGUAUGAGAUGGACCCGCGUCUGUUUAGCUAGUUGGUAAGGUUACGGCUUACCAAGGCGACGAUCAGUAGCCGACCUGAGAGGGUGACCGGCCACAUUGGGACUGAGACACGGCCCAGACUCCUACGGGAGGCAGGAGUGGGGAAUAUUGCACAAUGGGGGAAACCCUGAUGCAGCGACGCCGCGUGAAGGAUGAAGUAUUUCGGUAUGUAAACUUCUAUCAGCAGGGAAGAAAGUGACGGUACCUGACUAAGAAGCCCCGGCUAACUACGUG